UACGGAGGGUGCAAGCGUUAUCCGGAUUUACUGGGUUUAAAGGGUGCGUAGGUGGGUCUGUAAGUCAGUGGUGAAAUCUUCGAGCUUAACUCGGAAACUGCCAUUGAUACUAUAGGUCUUGAAUCAUCUGGAGGUGAGCGGAAUAUGUCAUGUAGCGGUGAAAUGCUUAGAUAUGACAUAGAACACCGAUUGCGAAGGCAGCUCACUACGGGAUGUAUUUGACACUGAGGCACGAAAGCGUGGGGGAUCAAACCAGG
rnacentral:rRNA from 1 species